rnacentral:rRNA from 1 species
GACGAACCGAGCGAACGUUAUUCGGAAUCACUGGGCUUAAAGGGCGCGUAGGCGGGCGAUCAAGUCAGGGGUGAAAGCCCCCAGCUCAACUGGGGAAGUGCCUCUGAUACUGGUCGUCUCGAGGGGGAUAGGGGCGUGCGGAACUUCCGGUGGAGCGGUGAAAUGCGUAGAUAUCGGAAGGAACACCGGUGGCGAAAGCGGCGCGCUGG